rnacentral:rRNA from 1 species
AGCGUACACGGUGGAUGCCUAGGCAGUCAGAGGCGAUGAAGGGCGUGCUAAUCUGCGAAAAGCGUCGGUAAGCUGAUAUGAAGCGUUAUAACCGACGAUACCCGAAUGGGGAAACCCAGUGCAAUACGUUGCACUAUCGUUAGAUGAAUACAUAGUCUAACGAGGCGAACCGGGGGAACUGAAACAUCUAAGUACCCCGAGGAAAAGAAAUCAACCGAGAUUCCCCCAGUAGCGGCGAGCGAACGGGGAGGAGCCCAGAGUCUGAAUCAGUUUGUGUGUUAGUGGAAGCGUCUGGAAAGUCGCACGGUACAGGGUGAUAGUCCCGUACACCAAAAUGCACAGGCUGUGAACUCGAUGAGUAGGGCGGGACACGUGACAUCCUGUCUGAAUAUGGGGGGACCAUCCUCCAAGGCUAAAUACUCCUGACUGACCGAUAGUGAACCAGUACCGUGAGGGAAAGGCGAAAAGAACCCCGGCGAGGGGAGUGAAAUAGAACCUGAAACCGUGUACGUACAAGCAGUGGGAGCACCUUCGUGGUGUGACUGCGUACCUUUUGUAUAAUGGGUCAGCGACUUAUAUUUUGUAGCAAGGUUAACCGAAUAGGGGAGCCGUAGGGAAACCGAGUCUUAACUGGGCGUCUAGUUGCAAGGUAUAGACCCGAAACCCGGUGAUCUAGCCAUGGGCAGGUUGAAGGUUGGGUAACACUAACUGGAGGACCGAACCGACUAAUGUUGAAAAAUUAGCGGAUGACUUGUGGCUGGGGGUGAAAGGCCAAUCAAACCGGGAGAUAGCUGGUUCUCCCCGAAAGCUAUUUAGGUAGCGCCUCGUGAACUCAUCUUCGGGGGUAGAGCACUGUUUCGGCUAGGGGGCCAUCCCGGCUUACCAAACCGAUGCAAACUCCGAAUACCGAAGAAUGUUAUCACGGGAGACACACGGCGGGUGCUAACGUCCGUCGUGAAGAGGGAAACAACCCAGACCGCCAGCUAAGGUCCCAAAGUCAUGGUUAAGUGGGAAACGAUGUGGGAAGGCACAGACAGCCAGGAUGUUGGCUUAGAAGCAGCCAUCAUUUAAAGAAAGCGUAAUAGCUCACUGGUCGAGUCGGCCUGCGCGGAAGAUGUAACGGGGCUAAACCAUGCACCGAAGCUGCGGCAGCGACACUUAGGUGUUGUUGGGUAGGGGAGCGUUCUGUAAGCCGUUGAAGGUGACCUGUGAGGGUUGCUGGAGGUAUCAGAAGUGCGAAUGCUGACAUAAGUAACGAUAAUGCGGGUGAAAAACCCGCACGCCGGAAGACCAAGGGUUCCUGUCCAACGUUAAUCGGGGCAGGGUGAGUCGACCCCUAAGGCGAGGCUGAAAAGCGUAGUCGAUGGGAAACAGGUUAAUAUUCCUGUACUUGGUGUUACUGCGAAGGGGGGACGGAGAAGGCUAGGCUGGCCGGGCGACGGUUGUCCCGGUUUAAGCGUGUAGGGGGAGUGACCAGGUAAAUCCGGUUGCUUAUCAACCCUGAGGCGUGAUGACGAUGCACUACGGUGCAGAAGCAGUUGAUGCCAUGCUUCCAGGAAAAGCCUCUAAGCAUCAGGUAACAUUAAAUCGUACCCCAAACCGACACAGGUGGUCAGGUAGAGAAUACUCAGGCGCUUGAGAGAACUCGGGUGAAGGAACUAGGCAAAAUGGUGCCGUAACUUCGGGAGAAGGCACGCUGGCGUUAGGUGAAAGGACUAGCUCCUNGAGCUGAAGCCAGUCGCAGAUACCAGCUGGCUGCAACUGUUUAAUAAAAACACAGCACUGUGCAAACACGAAAGUGGACGUAUACGGUGUGACGCCUGCCCGGUGCUGGAAGGUUAAUUGAUGGGGUCAGCCGCAAGGCGAAGCUCUUGAUCGAAGCCCCAGUAAACGGCGGCCGUAACUAUAACGGUCCUAAGGUAGCGAAAUUCCUUGUCGGGUAAGUUCCGACCUGCACGAAUGGCGUAAUGAUGGCCAGGCUGUCUCCACCCGAGACUCAGUGAAAUUGAACUCGCUGUGAAGAUGCAGUGUACCCGCGGCAAGACGGAAAGACCCCGUGAACCUUUACUAUAGCUUGACACUGAACAUUGAGCCUUGAUGUGUAGGAUAGGUGGGAGGCCUUGAAGUGUGGACGCCAGUCUGCAUGGAGCCAACCUUGAAAUACCACCCUUUAAUGUUUGAUGUUCUAACUCGGCCCCAUGAUCUGGGGUGAGGACAGUGUCUGGUGGGUAGUUUGACUGGGGCGGUCUCCUCCCAAAGAGUAACGGAGGAGCACGAAGGUUAGCUAAUCACGGUCGGACAUCGUGAGGUUAGUGCAAAGGCAUAAGCUAGCUUGACUGCGAGAGUGACGGCUCGAGCAGGUACGAAAGUAGGUCUUAGUGAUCCGGUGGUUCUGAAUGGAAGGGCCAUCGCUCAACGGAUAAAAGGUACUCCGGGGAUAACAGGCUGAUACCGCCCAAGAGUUCAUAUCGACGGCGGUGUUUGGCACCUCGAUGUCGGCUCAUCACAUCCUGGGGCUGAAGUAGGUCCCAAGGGUAUGGCUGUUCGCCAUUUAAAGUGGUACGCGAGCUGGGUUUAGAACGUCGUGAGACAGUUCGGUCCCUAUCUGCCGUGGGCGUUGGAAGAUUGAGAGGGGCUGCUCCUAGUACGAGAGGACCGGAGUGGACGAAUCACUGGUGUUCGGGUUGUCAUGCCAAUGGCAUUGCCCGGUAGCUAAAUUCGGAAGAGAUAACCGCUGAAAGCAUCUAAGCGGGAAACUUGCCUCGAGAUGAGUCUUCCCUGGGRCUUAAAGNCCCCUGAAGGAACGUUAAAGACUAUGACGUUGA